UUAACUAUUAUAUAGUACUCAGACAUCACUAAAAACAUGAGUUGGGGUCCUCUGGCGGGCACUCACCAGCCGGAGCCGGUGGACGAAGCGGCCCGCCAAAAGCAACAAAGUGUAGAUUUCAAGGGUGGGAGAUCUACCCGUUAGGGCAUGAACUCUGUAAUGAUCCUUCCGCAGGUUCACCUACGGAAA
rnacentral:misc_RNA from 1 species